rnacentral:RNase_P_RNA from 1 species
GUUUCUCCGGAAACACAGGUAAGGUUGAAAAGGCAGGGUAAGAGCCUACCGCAGUUUUGGUGACAAAACUGGCAGUGUAAACCCCACCCGUUGCAAGUCCAAAUAGGACCGCGAUCAGGCUGCCCGCCUGGCGGUCGGGUAGGACGCUAGAGGCUGUCGGUAACGGUAGUCCCAGAUAAAUGGUCAUGGCUCACUACUGUGAGAACAGAACCCGGCUUAUUUCCGGCUUUGAUUU